GAAGGCUCCUGGACACUGCACAAUCAUUUGGAACGAUCUGAUCGCUCCCCGGACUCAGCAAAACGCGCGUCUGUGACAGCAGCUUUGCGCAGGAGUUCACGUGACCAAAACAUAGCAGAGACACGCGGUAAAAACGUCACCACUGCAUGACUGUCACACCUGAGUAGGAGAUCAGAAGCAUCCUUUAAGGAUUAGACACCGUGAAACAUGGAUGCACCUGCUGGAAGACUGGGAGACUAGCUCUGCACCAGUUAACCCAUUAAACCUUCAUGCUAAUCGUGCAGCAUCUCAGUAACACACUUUGGAUGACUUCACCUCCUCCAGCCAGCCAAACCUAAUGGGAAGGAUCAUCUUGGCGUGCAGAGGUCAGCUAGACUGCCCUAGAGGUGUGCCACAGAUGACACUUGUCACGAUUUGAGGAGGAUGGUUUGGACCCAAGACGCAGAACCCAGGAUGUCAAAAGGCAGAAGGUGGUUCAAAGUAAAAUCCUUUUAGUUUAGGACAAAGAAAAAAAGUAAUCCGAGGCAGCGAGCCAAAGUCCAAAACGUCCUGGAGAACAGGAACACCCAAAGCUCUUCUUAGAGCACAAAAACCUGGAGACAAAGUUCAUACAGAGCACGAGCAACGCAGACAACAUACCACAAUGAACCGACAUCAGACACAGACCAGACAGAGCUUAUAUACACAGGGAGAAGUGAUUAGGGAAAAUGGCAGCAGG